rnacentral:rRNA from 1 species
GCCUUGUGUGCAAGCCGGCGGUAGGCCUAACACAUGCAAGUCGAACGGCAGCACAGGAGAAGCUUGCUCUCUGGGUGGCGAGUGGCGGACGGGUGAGGAAUACAUCGGAAUCUACUCUGUCGUGGGGGAUAACGUAGGGAAACUUACGCUAAUACCGCAUACGACCUACGGGUGAAAGCAGGGGAUCUUCGGACCUUGCGCGAUUGAAUGAGCCGAUGUCGGAUUAGCUAGUUGGCGGGGGGUAGGCCCACCAAGGCAACGAUCCGUAGCUGGUCUGAGAGGAUGAUCAGCCACAUUGGAACUGAGACACGGUCCAGACUCCUACGGGAGGCAGCAGUGGGGAAUAUUGGACAAUGGGCGCAAGCCUGAUCCAGCCAUACCGCGUGGGUGAAGAAGGCCUUCGGGUUGUAAAGCCCUUUUGUUGGGAAAGAAAUCCAGCUGGCUAAUACCCGGUUGGGAUGACGGUACCCAAAGAAUAAGCACCGGCUAACUUCGUGCCAGCAGCCGCGGUAAUACGAAGGGUGCAAGCGUUACUCGGAAUUACUGGGCGUAAAGCGUGCGUAGGUGGUUAUUUAAGUCCGUUGUGAAAGCCCUGGGCUCAACCUGGGAACUGCAGUGGAUACUGGAUGACUAGAAUGUGGUAGAGGGUAGCGGAAUUCCUGGUGUAGCAGUGAAAUGCGUAGAGAUCAGGAGGAACAUCCAUGGCGAAGGCAGCUACCUGGACCAACAUUGACACUGAGGCACGAAAGCGUGGGGAGCAAACAGGAUUAGAUACCCUGGUAGUCCACGCCCUAAACGAUGCGAACUGGAUGUUGGGUGCAAUUUGGCACGCAGUAUCGAANNUAACGCGUUAAGUUCGCCGCCUGGGGAGUACGGUCGCAAGACUGAAACUCAAAGGAA